rnacentral:rRNA from 1 species
UACGAAGGGGGCAAGCGUUGUCCGGAUUUAUUGGGCGUAAAGAGCGUGUAGGCGGCUUGGUAGGUCCGCUGUGAAAACUCGAGGCUCAACCUCGAGAUGUCGGUGGAAACCACUUGGCUAGAGUCCGGAAGAGGAGAAUGGAAUUCCUGGUGUAGCGGUGAAAUGCGCAGAUAUCAGGAAGAACACCCGUGGCGAAGGCGGUUCUCUGGGACGGUACUGACGCUGAGACGCGAAAGCGUGGGGAGCGAACAGG